AGAUUAAGUUAUUAAGGGCGCACGGUGGAUGCCUUGGCACUAGAAGCCGAUGAAGGACGUUACUAACGACGAUAUGCUUUGGGGAGCUGUAAGUAAGCUUUGAUCCAGAGAUUUCCGAAUGGGGAAACCCAGCAUGAGUUAUGUCAUGUUAUCGAUAUGUGAAUACAUAGCAUAUCAGAAGGCACACCCGGAGAACUGAAACAUCUUAGUACCCGGAGGAAGAGAAAGAAAAUUCGAUUCCCUUAGUAGCGGCGAGCGAAACGGGAAGAGCCCAAACCAACAAGCUUGCUUGUUGGGGUUGUAGGACACUCUAUACGGAGUUACAAAGGACGACAUU
rnacentral:rRNA from 1 species